GAUCAGUUAUACCUGCAGCCAAAUUCUGAAUAGUCUUCAACAUUGUCCCACUCUGAUCACUAUCAUUGAAGCCAUAUAUCAUUGUGAGGCAGCAGAGAAGUCCACCACUAAGGUUCCUGACAAUGCAAUGGAUGAUUUGAGCCUCUCCCUGUACUCCAGAGAUCAAGAUUUUUGUAGGAUCCCAUAGGAUCCAUAUUCUACCAUUCACUG
rnacentral:lncRNA from 1 species